AUAGAGAAGAAGAACUGAAUUUUGCCUAGAUUUGACUCAUAAUUUUCACUACCAGUACCAUAGGAGCAGUCUUACAUCCCUCCAUAGUCUGAUGAUCAAGAUCCUCAAUCUCACUGAAGGGUCUCUGUGUGUAUGCCAUCAUCAGCCUAAUAGCUACUCGGUCACCAUGCAGUAUCCCUACAUUUGCAUAAAUGCUGAGACUGACAAUAAAGUUUCCAGUUAGUGCCAAAAUAAUCUGUGACUGAGAAACUGAGAUACUUGUUUGGGAUGUGACUGUUCCAAGAUCCUGCAGUGGUCCUUUAUCUAAACCAAAGCUGGAAUUCUGGAAUUCCCUCUCAGAGUCAAUCCUGUUCUUGCUUAACUGCUGACUUCUUUCUUCAUCUUCAAACUAUUGUUUUUUAUUCUAAUACAUACACAUAUAGCAUGCUUAUUUAUUCUUUAUAUUUUGAAUCCUGAUUUAGAGUUGUUGUUGUCUCAUGAAGAAAAUGCUGGUAAUUUUCCUCUUGUUAUUUGAAAGGCAAAGAAAUACAAGCCUCAAUUUUCUUCUGUAGUUGGCUGAAGUCUCACAAUCAAAUGUUGCUUCCUUCAGCUUUUGAAGUAAAAUUAAAAGAAGCUCUUGCCCUGCAGUUAUUGGCAGCUGCUGCAGUGGUUAAUUACCCAUGUUUCAGGCUCAGAUUUACUGUACAGCUUAAUCAGCAUUUCUCCAGGCUUGUGUAAUCUAGGAACGGUUUUCUGAAGCAUGGCAAGAGGUACAUACAUGCCAUAAAAAACCACUGUGUGGAUGAAUACACCAUUUAAAUGUCACUGUCAUCAUUCUAAAACUCUGAGUGGGAACAGAGAUUUCCAUUGUCUGAUGGGGCAAAGAUACAGAUUCUUUCAAACUUUUUGUUUUACUUCAGACUGGAACUGCACCGAGAGCUGUAUCAAGGACUUUGGUUCUACUCAAUCCAUAGGUCAAAAUAGAGCACUUACAAGAUACCUAUUGCAAAUUUAUUUUUAUCAUACCACUGAGUUCACGUGGCUUCCCACAUAA
rnacentral:lncRNA from 1 species